rnacentral:rRNA from 1 species
AUUGAACGCUGGCGGCAGGCCUAACACAUGCAAGUCGAACGGUAACAGGAAGCAGCUUGCUGCUUCGCUGACGAGUGGCGGACGGGUGAGUAAUGUCUGGGAAGCUGCCUGAUGGAGGGGGAUAACUACUGGAAACGGUAGCUAAUACCGCAUAAUGUCGCAAGACCAAAGAGGGGGACCUUCGGGCCUCUUGCCAUCGGAUGUGCCCAGAUGGGAUUAGCUUGUUGGUGGGGUAACGGCUCACCAAGGCGACGAUCCCUAGCUGGUCUGAGAGGAUGACCAGCCACACUGGGACUGAGACACGGUCCAGACUCCUACGGGAGGCAGCAGUGGGGAAUAUUGCACAAUGGGUGCAAGCCUGAUGCAGCCAUGCCGCGUGUAUGAAGAAGGCCUUCGGGUUGUAAAGUACUUUCAGCGGGGAGGAAGGGAGUAAAGUUAAUACCUUUGCUCAUUGACGUUACCCGCAGAAGAAGCACCGGCUAACUCCGUG